UAUAGUUACAUUCCACAGGCCAACGUGCAGGAAGUACAAUGCAUGCUUGACAACCACAUACAAUGGUAAUCUCAUGCAUGAGGUCCCAGAAUACAGACAGUUUAAGUGCUCGACCAUGAAGGAGAAUAUUUUUCAUGAUGAUUACACUAGACACCGACCCCGCGUCACCACCAAUUGGAGGUAGAGCUCUGAAUUGUGUGGACGUCUCAACCCGCGAUGACGCGGAAGGCAGGAGACAGCGGAUAACUCAUUUUUUUAGAAGAACAUCAUUUAUUUGACAGAGGACGACCGGCGCAUGAUGGUAUGUUAUGUUUUAAAUUUGUCAUAGGGUGAAUUCAGGUAGAGUGGGAUACCAGGUUGAGUGGGACGCUUAAGCAUGUGGGUAGGCUACUGUAAGGCAAGGCAAGGCAAGUUUAUUUGUAUAGCACAUUUUAACAACAAGAUAAUUCAAAGUGCUUUACAUAAAACAUAAAAGCAACAGGGAAAUUUAAAAAAGUUUAAAAGCAACAUAAA